ACGUAGGGUGCGAGCGUUAAUCGGAAUUACUGGGCGUAAAGCGUGCGCAGGCGGUUUUGUAAGCCAGAUGUGAAAUCCCCGGGCUCAACCUGGGAAUGGCAUUUGGGACUGCAAGGCUGGAGUGUGGCAGAGGGGACUAGAAUUCCUGGUGUAGCAGUGAAAUGCGUAGAUAUCAGGAGGAAUACCGAUGGCGAAGGCAGGUCCCUGGGCUAACACUGACGCUCAUGCACGAAAGCGUGGGGAGCAAACAGGAUUAGAUACCCUGGUAGUCCACGCCCUAAACGAUGUCGACUGGUUGUUGGGGGUUUGACACUCUCAGUAACGAAGCUAACGCGUGAAGUCGACCGCCUGGGGAGUACGGCCGCAAGGUUA
rnacentral:rRNA from 1 species